rnacentral:rRNA from 1 species
CCUACGGGUGGCAGCAGUGAGGAAUAUUGGACAAUGGACGAGAGUCUGAACCAGCCAAGUAGCGUGAAGGAUGACUGCCCUAUGGGUUGUAAACUUCUUUUAUAUGGGAAUAAAACAGGGUAUGCAUACCCUCAUGUAUGUAACAUUUGAAUACGGAUCGGCUAACUCCGUGCCAGCAGUAGCGGUAAUACGGAGGAUCCGAGCGUUAUCCGGAUUUAGUGGGUUUAAGGGGCGCGUAGGUGGAUUGUUAAGUCAGUUGUGAAAGGUUGCGGCUCAACCGUAAAAUUGCAGUUGAAACUGGCAGUCUUGAGUACAGUAGAGGUGGGCGGAAUUCGUGGUGUAGCGGUGAAAUGCUUAGAUAUCACGAAGAACUCCGAUGGCGAAGGCAGCUCACUGGACUGCAACUGACACUGAUGCUCGAAAGUGUGGGUAUCAAACAGGAUUAGAUACCCUUGUAGUC